rnacentral:rRNA from 1 species
UACGAAGGGGGCUAGCGUUGUUCGGAAUUACUGGGCGUAAAGCGCGCGCAGGCGGUUCUUCAAGUCAGAGGUGAAAGCCCAGAGCUCAACUCUGGAAUGGCCUUUGAGACUAGAGAACUAGGGUACGGGAGAGGUGAGUGGAAUUCCGAGUGUAGAGGCGAAAUUCGUAGAUAUUCGGAAGAACACCAGUGGCGAAGGCGGCUCACUGGCCCGUUACCGACGCUCAGGCGCGACAGCGUGGGGAGCAAACAGG